UCACUACAAGUCUGUGGUAUUGGCCCAACAUGAGCAUUGACUUGACUAUUGGAUUCAGUAAGUGCUACUUGUUGGGGCGGUUGUACACGA
rnacentral:pre_miRNA from 1 species